GCUGGGGUGGCUCAGUUAGUAAAGCAUGAGGCUCUUAACCUCGGGGCUGUGGGUUUGAACCCCACGUUGGGCA